UGCGGAUUUUUAGCUCAGAGUGAUCAUCUUACUCCUACUGAGAUCUUUGUGUGAUUGUGUUUUUUGCAACACCGUGUGCAGAGUCACAGAGGAAGAAACGGAACGUGGGAGUGAAUAACCGAAUUGAUAUUGGAGUUUCAAGAAAGAAAAACCUCGAAAGACUUAGAUUUAUGCUGGCGCUGCCCUGAACAUUUUUUUUUUACUUCGCACAACGGAUAUCCUUGCUGUUUUUUUUUCAUUUGUGAUAUUCCAGAGGAGUUUUCCGUCAUCUGCCAUCUUCUGUUCCCGGUACUUCACGCCUCCAUCUUGGUUCUUUCCCCUUCUCGAGUGAAAAGAAAAGGUCCCAUCCAUCAUCCCCUUACACCCAAACCGACUCCGUGAACUACAUUCCUGGACAUUAGAGGGCGGUAGGGAUGUUGAGUGCACUCUGUCAUGAUCGGGCGAAAGUUCAGAGUGACCCAAAUGCUGAAAUUCGGAAGGAGACUCAGACAACGAGGUAAGUUUAGGAGAUUUAAUGGGGAGGUAAAUGAGUGAUGAUUCUUUCCAGGCGGAGGCGCGGCUACUGGCUGGAGGUUUCUUGCAGCGGACUUCCAAGGGUGAAUACACGGGAGACCAGAGGACAGCGACCAGGAGGAACAACGAACUGGCGUCGAGUGAAGGUCCAGAAGCU